rnacentral:tRNA from 1 species
AGGUACCGGCGAUAUUCGAACUCACAAUCCUGUUUACUAGACGGGCGCUUUAACCAACUAAGCCACGGUGCC